AUUGUCAAACAUACAAACAUGGUCCGUGCACACGAAUGGACGAUUACAUAUAAGUGGAUACUAAAAAUACAAGGAUCCAGUGCAUAUGGAGUCUAAUAUUCUUGUUAACUUUAAGUAACUAAAGUUGGUAAUGAUAAUCUGAGGGUCCACUUGUUGAACAAUAAUGACUAACGUCGCCUAUAGAGGUGAUCGUCAGGUGGUUUCCUCGUUCGCGGAGCACACGGAGCAGGUUUCUAACGAGGAUAAAGAAAGCCGCGGAGCGUCAUUUUUUACUUCCAGUUGAAAAAAAAAAUAUAUUCGCUGGAUCUGCUGCGCUGUUCUGUAAAGAUUCGCACUAUGUUUGGCAACGCACUUCACUUUUAAUAAUACCAAGUGUAAACUACUCGCAGAUCCGCAAGUGAAAUUCGACUUUGACUUAACAUACCGUUAGCGAAGUAUAUUAACCGACAAAGGCAUACUCAAAUAGAACAAUUCAAUUUGACACAUUUGUAUUACAUUACGCCGACCUCAAGUAAUUGAAAUAAAGGCAGAAAUAUGAUAUGUUUGUAUAAUAAAUACACCCGACGUAUUCGAUGUUAAUGAGAAAGUGUUCCACAAUUUGAAAUGUAUCACUGGACAAAUUUUCUCAAGAAUUAUCGCCGUAAAAUUAUGAAAAUAUAUUUUUUACUUUUAGUCAAUAACCUCAAUAAAUAAUUUCGAACUAGAUAAAAUUAGAUACAUUCUUCCGAUAGAAACGGCAUUAUAUUAAUUGGUUUGCCGUUGCCAUAGAUACAACGUAUCAAAUACAGAGGAACUUACAACCUUUUUUGUAAAUGCAUUCUUUUAUCUCUUUUUAUUGUGUAUGUCUAUCAAUAUCUAAUGUCAUUUGAGUCAAAGAUUUCGGAUCU